rnacentral:rRNA from 1 species
CCUACGGGAGGCAGCAGUAGGGAAUCUUUCACAAUGGGCGAAAGCCUGAUGCAGCCACGCCGCGUGCAGGAUGAAGGCCUUCGGAUUGUAAACUGCUUUUAUAAGCGAGAAAUAUGAUGGUAACUUAUGAAUAAGCAUCGGCUAACUACGUGCCAGCAGCCGCGGUCAUACGUAGGAUCCGAGCAUUAUCCGGGGUGACUGGGUGUAAAGAGUUGCGUAGCGGGCGUAAAAAGUAGCUAGGUAAAUCUCGUGGCUCAACCUUUCAGACUAUUAGCGAAACUGUUAAGCUUGAGACGGUGAGAGGUAAGUGGAAUUUUUGGUGUAGGGGUGAAAUCCGUAGAGAUUAGGAGGAAGACUGAUGGCGAAGGCGGGCUGCUGGAACAGUACUGACGCUAAGGCACGAAAGCGUAGGGAGCAAACGGGAUUAGAUACCCGGGUAGUC